rnacentral:rRNA from 1 species
UACGUAGGGCGCGAGCGUUAUCCGGAAUUAUUGGGCGUAAAGAGCUCGUAGGCGGUUUGUCGCGUCUGCUGUGAAAACUGGAGGCUCAACCUCCAGCCUGCAGUGGGUACGGGCAAACUAGAGUGCGGUAGGGGAGAUUGGAAUUCCUGGUGUAGCGGUGGAAUGCGCAGAUAUCAGGAGGAACACCGAUGGCGAAGGCAGAUCUCUGGGCCGUAACUGACGCUGAGGAGCGGAAGCAUGGGGAGCGAACAGG